GACGGGGCCCGCACAAGCGGUGGAGCAUGUGGUUUAAUUCGAAGCAACGCGAAGAACCUUACCAGGUCUUGACACUCCCUGACAACCCGAGAGAUCGGGCGUUCCCCGUUCGGGGGACAGGGUGACAGGUGGUGCAUGGUUGUCGUCAGCUCGUGUCGUGAGAUGUUGGGUUAAGUCCCGCAACGAGCGCAACCCUUAUCGUUAGUUGCCAGCGGGUAAAGCCGGGGACUCUAGCGAAACUGCCGGUGUAAACCGAGAGGAAGGUGGGGAUGACGUCAAGUCCUCAUGGCCUUUAUGACCAGGGCUACACACGUACUACAAUGGCCGGUACAAAGGGCAGCGACACAGCGAUGUGAAGCGAAUCCCGAAAAGCCGGUCUCAGUCCGGAUUGGAGUCUGCAACUCGACUCCAUGAAGUUGGAAUCGCUAGUAAUCGCGGAUCAGCACGCCGCGGUGAAUACGUUCCCGGGCCUU
rnacentral:rRNA from 1 species